GGGGAGAUUUUCUAAGCAGCAAUAUAUAUAUUUUUUGUACAUCUAUAGAAGUAAUAUUCUUUUUUCUCACUUGAUGAAAAAACUUUUUCAUCUCUUUUUUUUCACAUUAUUGCACGUUGGAACAGCACUAUAGUAUCAAUAGUAUCAAUUUAUAUAUAGCCUUAGAAUGUUAUUUAUUAUAUAAAGGUAUAGUGCUUUAUAGAGAUUUCGAGCACUGAUAAAAGUGAUAAUCUCACAUGUGAGAUUAUUCAUGAUAAUCUCACAUGUGAAAAUUAUCGCUAUUCAUUUAUCGCUUUUCUGGAA